rnacentral:misc_RNA from 1 species
AUCGAUUUUAUCUUUAUCACUGAUAUUUCAUUAUCCUUCAUUGAGCUCUAAGUGCGUGACAAGAAAUGCCUACGGCUUGCAUGAGGUGUCUGCAUGUAGAUGGAAGGUUCAGCGCUUCAGCGAGCUGUCUGAAAUGGUGCCGAAAACAACACAGAUGUUAGAGAUGCGUAGUGGUAAAGUCUAUGAAGGAUACGGCAGUGGUGGACUGACGCAUCGUAAACAAGUCGGGUCGCAGUUGAUAAUAUCGCAUUACUAAAUAUAGUUCUUUUUGUCAAAUUACGCGUCUGUUUUAAAGUCAUUUGUGUUGGUUUACCGCGGGAUUACGUCAUAUAGGUUGACGAUCGAGAAGGAAGAUUAGAUGAACAGUACGUGUGGUGGAUACAAACGUAUGUUUAUGUUAUGAUAAACCUGAAAAUUGAUUUCAGUUUCUUGUGACACCGUUGUAAAGGGUGUUUUGUUUGUGACUGUGUAACAACAACGUUUGCAACUGUCAUUUUCGAGAAAAGCCGGGAUGUGUAGGUGAUACAAAAAUGCAGUGUGCAUUGAUAUGGCCAGUAAGUCAUUAUGGACUACUCUUGGAGGAUGGAUGUGCUGCGAUCAUGGAGGAAGAGUUAUAAUGAACUGCAUCAUUUUCAAAGUGUUUUUCAAGUCACUGCAAACUUGAGUCAAAUUUGGGCACUUGAAGGGAUUGCACAAUAUUUCUACAUGUUGUAGAUUGCUUAGUAUUGGAAAGAUAUGAAAUAAUUGUCAUAGGCACAGAACAGCAAUGGAUCCAUUGGGGCCGUGGGCAACAUAUAAUCCUUCAUACACUAGGCUAACGGGUACAGCAGGCAGUUAUCAGGGGACUGCUCCUAGUGGACGUGGCAAUUUUGGAUCCCCCCAUCAUGCUUCACCAACAGGGAACAACAGUUUGGAAAAUACAGCAGUAACAGGGUUGCAAUCAGCAAAUUCCCAGCUUCUUUUGCAAACUGCUCAUAGUUCUACUAGCAUGCCUAACAGAGAACUCAUGGGCCACACUUCCAUGACAGCAGCAUUUGGCUCAGGGAGCUUUCUUACACAAACGUCUGGAUCGUAUGAUCCAGUUUUCUCAACUUUAUUUCACCAUCCUGAACAAAAACUGGCUAAUUAUGGCCCCUGUGCCACAAGUAACCCUUCAAAGCAUUCUUUACAACAUACUUCAGCGACCAAGCAAAAUGCACUUGAAUCAGAAAUAACAAGAGUCAGAGAAAAACAACAGAGUAGCACAUAUUUUGAACAGCAGGCAGCAGGAUCACCAUCAUCACUAUCAUCAACCCCGUCUUGGUCACAUCAGACAAAUGUCCAAAUACCAAGUCCAUUUGGUAUAUUACCACAUGAAACUGUUGGAAAUGGGGUGGAGAAGGGCAGUUCCAUUUGUGAAGGAGACUUCAAUGUACAAUUUACCCCAAAUCAGAAUUUAAAUAAUAUGAACUCUCAGCUCUCACCAGCUUUGGAAUACAGUAAAUCUUCAAGUGAUUACAAUAAAAUACAGAUCAGGAAACCGGACACAUUACUGUCCCCUGGUAGAACAGCUUUUACACCUGCCUCCAGUGCAGCAACUAGUGCCACAUUUUAUCAGCAUUCUCCAGCAACAUUCAGUAAUGUAGGGGCUGUCUCAUCUCGGGACAGUACUUCAGUUGUUUGUGCAACAACUUAUCGAAAUGACAACAAUAAAUGCCAGCAGCAACUACCAGGGGUCUCUGAUUUUGUUAGCAGUGGAAAAGGAUUUGUUUCUCCUGCACAGCUACCCACACCGUACCAUCAAGCUUCACUUGAUACGAAAUUGUAUUCAGAAUUUAAUUCUUCUGAGCACAUGACACAAGCACCUUUACCAGAAGAACACAGUCAAUCUCCGCCUGUUAAUUUCUCUCCAUUGAAUAAUGGAAGACAAACAGUUACCUUUACACGCAAUGAAAAUGGUGGAUCAUGUUCAACUAGUAUUAGUUCUGGGUCAGUUCCAACAAGUCUUGGUGUAGAAGAGCAGCAUGGCAAACGUGCCCUUGGUGUAUUACAGCAAACAGUUCAUAAGCGUCAGCCUAACAGUGAUGCAUCAUUUCAUAUGCAGCAAUACAGCAGCUCCCUUGUUGAUAGUGCCAAUUAUGGUAGUUCACCAUCUUUUUCAACAACAGAAACAAAAUCUUAUUCUGAGCCAUUGCUCUGUAUUGCAAAUGAUUCAUUGAAACACGGUCAGUCUGAUUGUGGAAAUCUUACACAAACACAAAGCCCAGCUAGUACGCAGUCGCAUCCGAGCCCUCUUGGUCAUGUUCCGAGCCCUCUUGGUCAUGUUCCGAGCCCUCUUGGUCAUGUUCCGAGCCCUCUUGGUCAUGUUCCGAGCCCUCUUGGUCAUGUUCCGAGCCCCCUCAGCCACGUUCCAAGCCCUCUCUGUCACGUUCAGAGUCCUCGUGGUCAUGUUCCAAGUCCCCUUGGUCACAAUCCCAGUCCCCAUAGUCACAAUCCAAGCCCCCAUGCUCAUGCUUCGAGUCCUGCGUAUCCUGUUUACCACAGUCCAGUAGGUAUGGUGCCUUCUGCAUCUUAUGUCCAGCCAUUGUCUCCAGAGGUGUCUUUACGGCAAUGCCCUACUGUUGAUGAAAGGCCAAAAAUAGUAAGCCAUUCUGCAGACAGUGAGCCAUGCUCAACAAACUCAUUAAGAGUACUGCCUAAAUCACAAAUCCCUAGUCACCAUGUAAUAAAUCGUACAUCGGGCUCAACAGGUGUUGCACAGAGACAAAAAUUAGAUGAAUGUGACAUCAAAGAUGGUUAUAACGAAGACAGUGGUUUGCAUGGAAAAGGAAAUCGGCAAGAUAAUACCUGCCGAAAGCAAAACGUGACACUACAAAUGAAGGAACAAAGUGUUGAAGAUGAAUCCAGUCCAUAUUAUAAGGUAUGCAUCAAAGAGAGAGAUGGUGGAGAUAGUAGUACCGCUACCAUGUUAUCAGUAGUGCAAACACCCAAUUUGCCACAGACAUCAACACUUCUCCAACCUCAGGACAUUUUAGAGCCUUCAGUAUCUAUGGAGCAAGAAGGUUAUAUUGAAAGCAGUUCAUCCUGUAGUGAGCAGGCGAGUAAUGAUAUUGACAAGCAUGCUGCCACAGGUUACAGUGCAGCACUACAGCAAGAAGGUGAACCUCUGUGUACAGGAUUACUAUCUACUGGUGAACUCACAGAGGCUCAGACAAAAGAGCAUUCUUCUCACCUUAUUAGGGCCACCUCUGAAGGACAGCAACUAGUGUCCGCUGAAGAGGCAGUGACUCAAAACAGUGCCAGCUCCUAUGUCACACACAUUGACAGAAAUAGAGAGCAACAAGAUACUGAUUCAAGGAACAAUUCUUUGAAUGAAAAGUUGGUUUCACCAAAAGCAAGUGUAGUGUGUGAAAAUGUACUCAAAGAAAGAUCAGAUACAUUUCAGGAUUCCAUUGAUAAGUCUGAUAAUGAAUGUCAGUCUGCAACAGCUUCUGUGACACAGCCAGUUGUUACAGAUCUUCCUAGUGUUCAACAAUCUUCUGACAGCAUUCGACAGAUUUCAGAGGUUGUCAACAUGUCAUCAGAAAUGAAGUCUGCAUCUCAACAACCAUCAGAUUUUGCAGAAUCCUUUAAUGAAAUAAAUCGAAAAGUCACCUUAAUUAACAUAGAGGAUGAUUUAGAAUGUCUAUUGGAAGAUAGUUCUGUUUACAGUCCAAUGACUCUUGAACAAGAUGUUAAGAUGUCAAAACAAAAGUAUUUUUUACAAAAUCGUAGUGGAUUUUUGGAUGGGUACAUGAAAUUCCUUAAUGAAGAGAGACGAAUAUCUGUUACAAAAAGCAAAAGCACUGAAAAAUCCGCAGAUACAGAUGCACAGAAGAAAGUGCGCAGGAAGCGAAUUGCUAAAAAUGCAGAUAUAUCUGGUACCAGUACUAAAGUUUUGAAACAAAGUCAGCAGGAUGAAGACUGGGAAGAAAGCAGUUAUACAUCCGAUGUGACUUCUGACACAUCUGACACUGAAAACAUGAGAAGCAAAGGAAAAAGAACUGAAUGGAUGUCCAGGGACAGCAGUCAUCAGGAAGAUGAAGGAAGUGAGAGGAAAAGACAAAAAUUGGAUAAGGAAGACGAACCAGAGAAGCAGAAGAAAAAUGCAAAAGACAGCCGAGGGAAAAGUCUUCAGCGAUCAACAAUUCAGUUGAGGCGAAAUUCUAGUUCUAAUCCAGAACUCUCAUCAAAGUGUAAUUCAUUUCAGUCAAGUUACUCUAAUGACCCACAGUCACUGGAUUCACAAAACAGUCAUGAAAAGGAGCAAAGGAAGAGGAGUAGAAAUGUUAAAGACCAAAUGAUCGCAAAGAGAAAAAUGAGUGAACAUAAAGAAGACCAAACUGUUUAUUUGCCCAGGAGGGAAAUGACACCCCGGAAGGCAAAAGAAAUAAGUAACACAAAGAAGUACAACCUCGAAGAAUUUGAAGAAGACUCUGACUCUGAGGAUAUGGACAGUGAUCCCGCAUGGACUCCAGCAGCUAAAGAACCAUCUGAUGAUGAUAAUGUUAAUAAGAGACGAUCCCGCCGUUCACGUUAUAUGUUAACAAAUUGCAAGAGAACCAGGCAUGCAUCACCUGAUGGCACUAGACCUGGAGGCACUGAAGAUGUAGAAGUGAGCAAGUUGCGUGGGAACCGAACCAGACAAAGUCGUACAAGAACACAUGCUGCUGCUAUCAGUCAAAAUUCACAGUCAUUGGCCAGACCUGACAUGCCCUCUGGUGCUUCAUAUUCUCCUGUCAGAGAAGUCAUAGCUGACACUAAUUUCAGAUCUGGUGACUUUGUUAUAAUGAAGAGUGAUACAGCAAUGGAGCAUCCACCACUAUGGAGAAUAGAUGGGAGAACUCUCCUUCAAAAAUAUGAAAGCUUUGAACAAAGUGGUAAAACUCUCUACAGGAAUAUUUCCACGAGAGGGUAGCAGGGAAUGGAGCGAUCUACCUGCACCUCACACAGUUACAUCCUUGGCAAGUGCAGAGUAAUCUCCAGCUAACUCUUUGUGCGUUGGCAUCAAGAGAAAAUGAGGCCUGUAUUUUGGGCAUCACACCAAGCAACUAUAUACAAGCUGGAGUCCACAAAACAGGCACAUCUACCAACAAGUUGCUGUGCGAUUUGUAGUGCAAAAUAAUUUUGAAACAGUUGUUGAGUUGCAGAAGAACAGCAUAUGUGAU